AUUGAACGCUGGCGGCAGGCCUAACACAUGCAAGUCGAACGAGUGGCGGACGGGUGAGUAAUGUCUGGGAAACUGCCUGAUGGAGGGGGAUAACUACUGGAAACGGUAGCUAAUACCGCAUACCAUCGGAUGUGCCCAGAUGGGAUUAGCUAGUAGGUGGGGUAAAGGCUCACCAAGGCGACGAUCCCUAGCUGGUCUGAGAGGAUGACCGGCCACACUGGGACUGAGACACGGCCCAGACUCCUACGGUAGGCAGCAGUGGGGAAUAUUGCACAAUGGGCGCAAGCCUGAUGCAGCCAUGCCGCGUGUGUGAAGAAGGCCUUCGGGUUGUAAAAUACUUUCGGCAGGGAGGCGUUACCCGCACAGAAAGCACCGGCUAACUCCGUGCCAGCAGCCGCGGUAAUUC
rnacentral:rRNA from 1 species